CAGCAGCCGCGGGAAUACGUAGGGUGCAAGCGUUGUCCGGAAUUAUUGGGCGUAAAGAGCGUGUAGGCGGCUCGACAAGUCCGCUGUGAAAGUCCAGGGCUCAACCCUGGAAUGCCGGUGGAUACUGUCGAGCUAGAGUCCGGAAGGGGCGAGUGGAACUCCUGGUGUAGCGGUGAAAUGCGCAGAUAUCAGGAAGAACACCAAUGGCGAAGGCAGCUCGCUGGGACGUGACUGACGCUGAGACGCGAAAGCGUGGGGAGCGAACAGGAUUAGAUACCCCCGUAGUCCCUGUCUCUUAUAC
rnacentral:rRNA from 1 species